GCCCCGUAAUCGGAAUGAGUACACUUUAAAUCCUUUAACAAGGAUCCAUUGGAGGGCAAGUCUGGUGCCAGCAGCCGCGGUAAUUCCAGCUCCAAUAGCGUAUAUUAAAGUUGUUGCGGUUAAAAAGCUCGUAGUUGGUUCUGCGUGCCGCGCUGUCGGUUCGCCGCCUGUCGGUGUAACUGGCAUGUCGCGGCAUGUCCUGUCGGUGGUGAACGGAGUCCACGACGCUACAUGGGCUUUAUAGUCGAUGUUAGCAUCGUGUGUACUUCCGUUGGCCGAUCUCUCCUACUUCGGUGCUCUUAAACGAGUGUCGAGGUAGGCCGACACGUUCACUUUGAACAAAUUAGAGUGCUUAAAGCAGGCUGAAAUAUCUGCCUGAAUAGUGGUGCAUGGAAUGAUAAAACAGGACCUCGGUUCUAUUUUGUUGGUUUUAGGAAUAUGAGGUAAUGAUCAAUGUGGACUGGCGGGGGCAUUCGUAUUGCGACGUUAGAGGUGAAAUUCUUGGAUCGUCGCAAGACGCACUAGAGCGAAAGCAUUUGCCAAGUAUGUCUUAAUUGAUCAAGAACGAAAGUUAGAGGUUCGAAGGCGAUCAGAUACCGCCCUAGUUCUAACCAUAAACGAUGCCAGCCAGCGAUCCGCCGAUGUUCCUUUAAUGACUCGGCGGGGAGCUUCCACCCGGGAAACCAAAGCUUUUGGGUUCCGGGGGAAGUAUGGUUGCAAAG
rnacentral:rRNA from 1 species